CAGUAAUUUGAUGCAGGGCCUCCAUUUCAUCCGUUGAAAUAAAAAAAAACACCACAGCCCUGUGGUUUUCUCUAAGAUUCAUUUUAGCUUCCUUCUAUAACCUUCAUUAAUCUCUCCAGGAACACCUUGCAGAGUCUCGUUCUAAGCCUUUAGGGCUCUGGGGUUAGAGUUAACUCUUAAUUGAGCCUCCUCUUACCAAGAACAAACAACACAGGCUGUCUACCAGGCAGGAUUUACAUACUCAGACUUACACCUUCUCUUCUCCUCCAUUCAAGACAGGGGGGGCAUGCAGAAGCCUUGAUCUCCGAGUGGUCUGUGGCCGUGAGGUGGAGAGAUACAACUGCUUUGUCGAGGACCCAAGGGAAAACCGAGCCGUGGCUGUCUGAGUCUUAUCAAAGGAAAAACGAUUGGUGCCUGGCACAUUACAGGCCCUCAAUGUCUACCAGUUGGAUGACUGAAAGUGACUGGGGCAUCCGCCUGUCAUGGGUACGAAAGCCAGCUUCACCAUUCUCUACCAGCUUGCUCCAGGAGUCAAUGUUCUGGGUGGCUCACAGGAAUUAAUCAUGGCAGUAACACCAUGAGCAGGGUCACUGUGAACUGUUAUGCAGGCAUGUUCUGCGGAAAGGGUCCACUUGGCUGAGAGGCAUGCUUCUUGCCGAAUCAUGAGUGCAGGUGUGGAGCUGUGUCCACUUGGAGGAAGGAAGACCUUUUGCUAAUGCAUAUCCAGGAUAUAAGCUGCUACAGGGCAGGGCUUUUUGUCUAUCCUGUUCCCUGAUGGAUCCCAAGUGCCUGAUCCAGUGCCUUGCACAGAGUCUCUCAGGCUGCCCUCACCCCUGGGGGAAGUGGGGGAUGAAUUUGGCAGAGCUGGCCUCAGGAGGUGGAUGGCCUUGCUUCAGAGGCUCUCUGUCAAAACUCUUUCUACUGCUCAAUCAUCUUCCUGGGAAAAAAUAUCAGAUGGCAGGAUCGAGAGGGAGCAGUGUUGCCUGGACAGUGUGGGAAGUAAAUGGCACAGUAUGGGAUUAAAGAAGGAUAUUUGGUAAGUCCUGAACUUGUGUCCCACAAUCAGUUUUCCUCAGACAGGACAAUAAGACACUGCAGGCCUCAGAAGGAUCAAAGUAAAUCAGCCAUGCCUAGCAUAUACUGAAACCAUAUCUGCAAGUUCUGAAGAUCAUGGAACACACAGAAUGUUUGUUGAAUUCAUAUCAAGAUGAAUGAAAAUAAGCGUGGAAAAGAAACUAAGAAGUGAUUAUUCUGUUGUUUUCCAAGCUGGGCAAACCACAUGUGUAGCAAGGCUGGCAUUUGUCCUGAAUCACUAUGUUUCCAGGACCACAGACACCCAGGAGUAUAGUCAGAAGUAGGUACGUGGAUCUCAAAACAAUGUUAUAAGAAAGCUUGAAGGAAUGGAGAACAUUUAGCCCAGGAGAGCAUCCAUGGGACAUGACUAUUAUUUUCAGAAAAUGGAAGGCUCUUGAUGUAGGGCAGGGAAUCACAAUUGUUUUGUAUGGCCUCAAGGAGCACUGGAGCCAUGCAUGUGAAUUGCAUUUUAGCUUAGAAUUUAAACUUCGGAAAACAUUCUAAUAAUAGAGCUUUUAAAUAUAGAAUAGGCAGACUCAGUAGGAAGUCAGCCAUCUACAAGUAAAGGUCUUCAGCAUGUGCUCUAUCAGGUGACAGAUUCAAAAGUUAGUCUGGAUUACCUUUAAAGGAAAAAAUUAUUUGAUUCUAUGAAAGGGGGGAGAAAAGUCACUAUAUUAGUUGGAGUAAGGGCUCCAUAACAGAGACUCAACAAUUCAAUCACAUAAAGGGCCAGGAAAUUGAUGACUCUCUCCCAGAACACUGCAAGGCAGGUAGGCAGCCUCUGCUUCAUAAAACCAUCAUGGGAACCAGGCUGGGGUGGGAGAACCUCAAUGUGAGGCUUCUGAGGCAAACCCGGUUGUCAACCAUAUCCAGUCAGUGGGAGGAAACAGGCGAAGUCCAGGACUGGAUACUGCUUAUUAACCAUGGAAUACAGAAGUUGCACGCAUUACUUCUACUCCUGUUCCAUUGGUGUAUCUGGUCUCCUGACUACAUUUCACUGCAAGGGAUGCUGGGAAGUGUACUCUGAGCCAAGCAGCCAGGAAGAAAAAAAAUGAAUUGAGAAUCCCAUGGCAGACUUGUGAUGGACAUCCCAAUUAUCCUGAUUUGAUCAUUACACGUUGCAUGUAGGUAUCCGAAUAUCACAUAUACCCCAAAAAUAUGUACAACUAUUAUAUAUAAAUAAAAAAAAUUUUAAACAGCACACUUGGCUACAGUCAUCUAUCAAACUAUCUGUCAAUUGUUUAUACAUCUAUUACUAUAUUAAUAAUAAACACCAAUGUGUUAUAUUAAUAUUAAUAAAUUACUACAGUUAAAAACACUGCUUUAAAGCCAUUCUGCCUGGUUAUGACACCUAACUCCACCA
rnacentral:lncRNA from 1 species